rnacentral:rRNA from 1 species
UACGAAGGGGGCUAGCGUUGCUCGGAAUGACUGGGCGUAAAGGGCGCGUAGGCGGAUGGCACAGUCAGAUGUGAAAUUCCCGGGCUUAACCUGGGGGCUGCAUUUUAUACGUGUGAUCUAGAGUGAGGAAGAGGGUCGUGGAAUUCCCAGUGUAGAGGUGAAAUUCGUAGAUAUUGGGAAGAACACCGGUGGCGAAGGCGGCGACCUGGUCCUUGACUGACGCUGAGGCGCGAAAGCGUGGGGAGCAAACAGG